CGAAAGCCUGACGGAGCAAUACCGCGUGAGGGAUGAAUGCCUAUGGGUUGUAAACCUCUUUUUUCAGGGAGGAAUAAAUGACGUGUACCUGAAGAAUAAGCAUCGGCUAACUCCGUGCCAGCAGCCGCGGUAAGACGGAGGAUGCAAGUGUUAUCCGGAAUCACUGGGCGUAAAGCGUCUGUAGGUGGUCAAAUAAGUCAACUGUUAAAUCUUAAGGCUCAACCUUGAAAUCGCAGUCGAAACUAUUAGACUAGAGUAUAGUAGGGGUAAAGGGAAUUUCCAGUGGAGCGGUGAAAUGCGUAGAUAUUGGAAAGAACACCGAUG
rnacentral:rRNA from 1 species